rnacentral:rRNA from 1 species
UACGUAGGUCCCGAGCGUUGUCCGGAUUUAUUGGGCGUAAAGCGGGCGCAGGUGGUUUAUUAAGUCUGGUGUAAAAGGCAGUGGCUCAACCAUUGUAUGCAUUGGAAACUGGUAGACUUGAGUGCAGGAGAGGAGAGUGGAAUUCCAUGUGUAGCGGUGAAAUGCGUAGAUAUAUGGAGGAACACCGGUGGCGAAAGCGGCUCUCUGACCUGUAACUGACACUGAGGCUCGAAAGCGUGGGGAGCAAACAGG